rnacentral:rRNA from 1 species
AUUGAACGCUGGCGGCAGGCCUAACACAUGCAAGUCGAGCGAGCGGCGGACGGGUGAGUAAUGUCUGGGAAACUGCCUGAUGGAGGGGGAUAACUACUGGAAACGGUAGCUAAUACCCAGACCUGAAGGAGGGGAUUGCGUCUGAUUAGCUAGUUGGAGGGGUAACGGCACACCAAGGCGAUGAUCAGUAGCCGGUCUGAGAGGAUGAACGGCCACAUUGGGACUGAGACACGGCCCAGACUCCUACGGGAGGCAGCAGUGGGGAAUAUUGCACAAUGGGCGCAAGCCUGAUGCAGCCAUGCCGCGUGUAUGAAGAAGGCCUUCGGGUUGUAAAGUACUUUCAGCGGGGAGGCGUUACCCGCAGAAGAAGCACCGGCUAACUCCGUGCCAGCCGCCGCGGUAAUUC